CAGGCUUAUGCACAUGCAAGUCGCGCGGGCACGGACAGCGGACCGUCCGUGCGAGCGGCAGACGGGUGAGUAACACGUGGGCAAUCUACCUCUUGAGUGGGGGAUAACUCGCCGAAAGGCGGGCUAAUACCGCAUAAGACCACAUCCCGGCAUCGGGAAGGGGUCAAAGGUUCGCAAGGACCGCUUAGAGAUGAGCCCGCGGCCUAUCAUGGUAGUUGGUGGGGUCACGGCCCACCAAGCCGACGACGGGUAGUCGACCUGAAAGGGUGACCGACCACACUGGGACUGCGACACGGCCCAGACUCCUACGGGAGGCAGCAGUGGGGAAUUUUGCACAAUGGGCGAAAGCCUGACGUAGCAACGCCGCGUGGAGGAUGAAGGCCUUCGGGUCGUAAACUCCUGUCAGGGGGGACGAAAUCCCGCGCAAGCGGGGCUGACUGUACCCUCUG
rnacentral:rRNA from 1 species